UUAAAAGUAUAAUUGGGCUGCGCUGCAGCCCAGAAGUGAGGCCGCGUAGGGUUAAGUAUAAAAGAGAAAGAGAUCGAGAUAGCAGAGGAUCCGAGAUAAGAGAAAGAGAUCGAGAUAGCGGCGAACCCUAAAUCGAAGCUAUUUUCUGCAGAGACGCAAAGAUGAAUUUUGUCGAGAAGAUGAUGGCAAUAGGCCUUUCUACUGGCUUUGCUGGAUUCAUCGGAUUGUCGAUUUAUUUCUCGGUCGAGAACUGGAAUAAUUACAACUAUUAUAUAAAGCUCAAGUUGAGAAACUGAGAGCGAAGAAUGAAAGGGAUUCCCGUGAAUGAUCCCCCAUAACAAGGAAGGAAUCCAGAAGUCUCCUCUGCAGAGAUGAUUAGUUAUAUAUGUGGUGCCUCUCUCCCACAACCCCUAUAACUGGAUUUGGGAGCCUCGAUGCUAAGACUAUUCUUUGGUCCGUUCUUUUUGUCUUCCCCAAUUUCUAUCACUUUUUCUCUUCCCCAAUUUUUAUCAUGAAAAAAUUUCAGAUUUGAAUUUCAAGAUGAUCUUGUUCUUAUCCGAAAAACAAGAUCUUGAAAUAGGUUGAAUGAUGACUGCAACGGUGGAGGUUGAUUGAUUUGAUGACUGGUUUGUAAAAUUGUGUGAUUGUUGCAAGAUCUUGUUCAAUCAUGUAUUCUUGAAGAUGAGAUGGAGGUAGGAUAAUCAAUGGAAGGAAUAUAUAAUCUGUGGGCUACCUUGGAACCAUAUCUGAAAACAGAGGAAGGUGCAGAGAGAGAGAGAGAGAGAGAGAGAGAGAGAGAGUUGAAACAGGAGAAUACGGACAAAAAGAAGGGUUAUUUUGUAAAAUCAGUAACUUUUUAUGUUGAGGAGAUAUGUAGACCAUUGGAUAUGAGACUUAACAGAUGUCUUAAUCUCUAUAAAAGCUUAGGUAGGUUUAGGAGGGGAAUGAGAUUAGGAGAGGAUCCGGAUCCCAAAUAAGAGGCUUGAUUCUCUAUUCUGACUUCGUUGUAUUUAUGACAAGUUAUUAAUUAGUAACCAUCUGUCUUUAACCAAAGACACUAUGGAUAUGAUCCAAGCAUCAGCA